GGGUUCCAAUGGGACCAUCCAACUCACCAGCAGGUAAAGGUGUGAGACAGGGAAAGGGUGCAUUUGCUGAAUAUCUAAAUCCACUCGAUAAUGGUGUCUGCAGGCUUUGAUCCUCAGUGCCAGAAUUGUGAGUUCAAAUGAAAUCUGAGGAUGGAAUUAACUCCAGGCAUUAAGAAGGGCAGAAGUGCAGUUUCUUUGUUGAAGGAGGCCACCCACUCGAACUUUCCUAGACGUCCCAUCUAGCAACCUCUAUUCGUAUCUGAUUGACACCCCCGAGUUGCAGGAGAGGCUGAGAAAUGUGUUGCUGCCCUGAAAGAAACUGAGGUCCUGUAACUACAAAGGAGAAGUAAACAUGGUUCCCUUCUGACAACAGCAAGGGCUUCUAAUGUGAAUGAGGCUCAGGGGAAUCUGCUAGCUAUCUCUGGCUUCCCUGGCACCAUGCAAAGACAUGCUCCUGUAGAAGAGAAUAUUGAAAGCCAUCCAGACCCCAGCUGUAGCAGCACUGGAAGCCAGAAUGGUUUUCUCAUGGAGAAUUCCUGAAGGACCUCCUAUUGAGCUCACCUGAGUGACAUGGAAGGAUGACAUGUGGGACAAUCGGAGUGAACCUGGGGUGGUGAGAACACUGCAGGCAUCCAGUGGAUUCCUUUAAAGCAGGUUGCUCAACUGUGGUCCUGUUGACGUUUCGGCUGGGUGAUUCUCCACUGUGGGGCCUAACCUGGAUGUUGUAGGAUGGUUGGGGGCAUCUCUGGCCCCCAACCACCACGUGCCAGGAACAUCCAGUGCUCAUCCCCAAUGUCUCCAGACACUGCCCAGGGUCCGAGUGCCAUCACUUUCAACUGAGAAUCACUGCUUAGAGGGAAGCAAUUUGUGGAUGAGAAGCAUGCAGGCUGUGACUCACAAUUUCAAACCAAUGAAGUUCAACCUCAGACUGUUGCAAAAAAAAGUACUCCGCACUCACCAACAGUCAACAUAAUUUCAUUCAGCCAAAUCUUGUGUAUUUGCUAGUAAACUGUGCACCGAGUGAA
rnacentral:lncRNA from 1 species